rnacentral:rRNA from 1 species
AGUGAACGCUGGCGGUAGGCCUAACACAUGCAAGUCGAACGGCAGCACAGUAAGAGCUUGCUCUUACGGGUGGCGAGUGGCGGACGGGUGAGGAAUACAUCGGAAUCUACUUUUUCGUGGGGGAUAACGUAGGGAAACUUACGCUAAUACCGCAUACGACCUACGGGUGAAAGCAGGGGAUCUUCGGACCUUGCGCGAUUGAAUGAGCCGACGUCGGAUUAGCUAGUUGGCGGGGUAAAGGCCCACCAAGGCAACGAUCCGUAGCUGGUCUGAGAGGAUGAUCAGCCACACUGGAACUGAGACACGGUCCAGACUCCUACGGGAGGCAGCAGUGGGGAAUAUUGGACAAUGGGCGCAAGCCUGAUCCAGCCAUACCGCGUGGGUGAAGAAGGCCUUCGGGUUGUAAAGCCCUUUUGUUGGGAAAGAAAAGCAGCAGGUUAAUACCCCGAUGUUCUGACGGUACCCAAAGAAUAAGCACCGGCUAACUUCGUG